rnacentral:rRNA from 1 species
GACGAACGCUGGCGGCGUGCCUAAUACAUGCAAGUCGAGCGGACGGAUGGGAGCUUGCUCCCAGACCGUCAGCGGCGGACGGGUGAGUAACACGUGGGCAACCUGCCUGUAAGACUGGGAUAACUCCGGGAAACCGGGGCUAAUACCGGAUAAAUCUUUCCCUCACCUGAGGGAAAGCUGAAAGAUGGCAUCUCGCUAUCACUUACAGAUGGGCCCGCGGCGCAUUAGCUAGUUGGUGAGGUAACGGCUCACCAAGGCGACGAUGCGUAGCCGACCUGAGAGGGUGAUCGGCCACACUGGGACUGAGACACGGCCCAGACUCCUACGGGAGGCAGCAGUAGGGAAUCUUCCGCAAUGGACGAAAGUCUGACGGAGCAACGCCGCGUGAGUGAUGAAGGUUUUCGGAUCGUAAAACUCUGUUGUCAGGGAAGAACAAGUACCGGAGUAACUGCCGGUACCUUGACGGUACCUGACCAGAAAGCCACGGCUAACUACGUG